UGGAGAUAGCUGGUUCUCUCCGAAAUAGCUUUAGGGCUAGCCUCAAGUGAUGAUUAUUGGAGGUAGAGCACUGUUUGGACGAGGGGCCCCUCUCGGGUUACCGAAUUCAGACAAACUCCGAAUGCCAAUUAAUUUAACUUGGGAGUCAGAACAUGGGUGAUAAGGUCCGUGUUCGAAAGGGAAACAGCCCAGACCACCAGCUAAGGUCCCAAAAUAUAUGUUAAGUGGAAAAGGAUGUGGCGUUGCCCAGACAACUAGGAUGUUGGCUUAGAAGCAGCCAUCAUUUAAAGAGUGCGUAAUAGCUCACUAGUCGAGUGACACUGCGCCGAAAAUGUACCGGGGCUAAACAUAUUACCGAAGCUGUGGAUUGUCCUUUGGACAAUGGUAGGAGAGCGUUCUAAGGGCGUUGAAGCAUGAUCGUAAGGACAUGUGGAGCGCUUAGAAGUGAGAAUGCCGGUGUGAGUAGCGAAAGACGGGUGAGAAUCCCGUCCACCGAUUGACUAAGGUUUCCAGAGGAAGGCUCGUCCGCUCUGGGUUAGUCGGGUCCUAAGCUGAGGCCGACAGGCGUAGGCGAUGGAUAACAGGUUGAUAUUCCUGUACCACCUAUAAUCGUUUUAAUCGAUGGGGGGACGCAGUAGGAUAGGCGAAGCGUGCGAUUGGAUUGCACGUCUAAGCAGUAAGGCUGAGUAUUAGGGAAAUCCGGUACUCAUUAAGGCUGAGCUGUGAUGGGGAGAAGACAUUGUGUCUUCGAGUCGUUGAUUUCACACUGCCGAGAAAAGCCUCUAGAUAGAAAAUAGGUGCCCGUACCGCAAACCGACACAGGUAGUCAAGAUGAGAAUUCUAAGGUGAGCGAGCGAACUCUCGUUAAGGAACUCGGCAAAAUGACCCCGUAACUUCGGGAGAAGGGGUGCUCUUUAGGGUUAACGCCCAGAAGAGCCGCAGUGAAUAGGCCCAAGCGACUGUUUAUCAAAAACACAGGUCUCUGCUAAACCGUAAGGUGAUGUAUAGGGGCUGACGCCUGCCCGGUGCUGGAAGGUUAAGAGGAGUGGUUAGCUUCUGCGAAGCUACGAAUCGAAGCCCCAGUAAACGGCGGCCGUAACUAUAACGGUCCUAAGGUAGCGAAAUUCCUUGUCGGGUAAGUUCCGACCCGCACGAAAGGCGUAACGAUUUGGGCACUGUCUCAACGAGAGACUCGGUGAAAUCAUAGUACCUGUGAAGAUGCAGGUUACCCGCGACAGGACGGAAAGACCCCGUGGAGCUUUACUGUAGCCUGAUAUUGAAAUUCGGCACAGCUUGUACAGGAUAGGUAGGAGCCUUUGAAACGUGAGCGCUAGCUUACGUGGAGGCGCUGGUGGGAUACUACCCUAGCUGUGUUGGCUUUCUAACCCGCACCACUUAUCGUGGUGGGAGACAGUGUCAGGCGGGCAGUUUGACUGGGGCGGUCGCCUCCUAAAAGGUAACGGAGGCGCUCAAAGGUUCCCUCAGAAUGGUUGGAAAUCAUUCAUAGAGUGUAAAGGCAUAAGGGAGCUUGACUGCGAGACCUACAAGUCGAGCAGGGUCGAAAGACGGACUUAGUGAUCCGGUGGUUCCGCAUGGAAGGGCCAUCGCUCAACGGAUAAAAGCUACCCCGGGGAUAACAGGCUUAUCUCCCCCAAGAGUUCACAUCGACGGGGAGGUUUGGCACCUCGAUGUCGGCUCAUCGCAUCCUGGGGCUGUAGUCGGUCCCAAGGGUUGGGCUGUUCGCCCAUUAAAGCGGUACGCGAGCUGGGUUCAGAACGUCGUGAGACAGUUCGGUCCCUAUCCGUCGUGGGCGUAGGAAA
rnacentral:rRNA from 1 species